AGUUUUUGGGUUGAAACUAAAGAUAAUGGGUGUAAAAAUCAUAAAAAAAUUUAGAAAAAAAUCUGAGAAAAAGACAAAGAGAAAUUGAGUGGCAAAAAUUGCAAGGGUGGUGAGAAAUUUAGUAAGAGUUGCUAGUGUGCCCUAGAGUUUGAUUUUUUAUAUGUUGGAGCCAAAAAUCAAAUCUUAGGUUGUGUGAUAUCUGAAGAGUAUCUUCUUGAUGUGAUUUUGGUGGCA
rnacentral:lncRNA from 1 species